AACAUACACUGACACGUGGAUCACCGCCAGACCCCGAACCCUCUGCCAGCUUGGACCGAGAUGAGUCAUGAAGCAGUGUCAUAGGGUCACUUUUAAGGGAGCUAAAAACAGCACAGGAGAAGAAGAAGGAGGAAAAAAUACACAAUGGAAGCCACCUGAGGAACCUGCUUCGGCUGUGCGUCUGAAUUCCUUUAAAGAUGCCACUUACUUCUGAAGAACAGCGCUUUGAUUUAUCCGGCUCUAGUCCCUGGGAUAAAGAGUAAAAAGGCUGGAAAACCUCACUCCUGUCUGCUGUCUUCUCCUAAUGAGACAAAACUCUUUGUUCCGAAGGAUGGAGAGACAAAGGGCAAAAGAGCAGGAAAAGACGGAAGAAGAAGAGGCAUGAAUAUCUAUAUGGAGAAAGCAGAAAAAGAAGUAGUGAAUAAAAGGGAUGCUGAUGUCAUGCUGAUGCAAUGUGUAUUUACACAGAGUGAGGAAGUCUGAAGUCCUGCUGGUCAUGAGAGAGGAGAAUAAGAAGGAACUGGGUUAAAGAUUAGAGGACCUGCAGAAUAAAUGUGGAGCUCCGGCACGAUUAAAGCUGUUUUAAAGUGAACACAAGAGCUGCAAAGUGAUUUAUUUACAUGUAAUUAUUUCUGCGAUGAGUCAGUGAAUCAAAAAGAACCGCGGUGUGUCUUCUAUCAGACUGGACUUGGAUGAUAGAUGAUUUUCAGCCGACUGAGCGGUUAAAACCCAGAAAAGAUGGAUGGACUCAUA